rnacentral:rRNA from 1 species
UACGGGGGGGGCAAGCGUUGUUCGGAAUUACUGGGCGUAAAGGGCUCGUAGGCGGCCAACUAAGUCAGACGUGAAAUCCCUCGGCUUAACCGGGGAACUGCAUCUGAUACUGGAUGGCUUGAGGUUGGGAGAGGGAUGCGGAAUUCCAGGUGUAGCGGUGAAAUGCGUAGAUAUCUGGAGGAACACCGGUGGCGAAGGCGGCAUCCUGGACCAAUUCUGACGCUGAGGAGCGAAAGCCAGGGGAGCAAACGGG